UUCUGACUUAGAAUUGAUCAGCCUCGUUUUCAAAACCACGCCUGACGGACAAAGACAAACCAGAAAUUCUUUUCAAAAACUUGAAGUUUAGCUAUGUCCAGAGGAAAUGACUCGCGAAUAUAUGUGGGUAAUUUACCACCAGACAUAAGAGCCAGAGAUAUCGAAGAUUUAUUUUACAAGUUUGGAAGAAUUACGUUUGUUGACUUGAAAACGCGCAGAGGUCCACCAUUUUGUUUUGUAGAGUUUGAAGACCCAAGAGAUGCAUCAGAUGCUGUACAUGAAAGAGAUGGUUAUAACUAUGAUGGAUACACUCUGCGAGUUGAAUUUCCACGAGGUGGUGGACCAGGAGGGCCACGAUCAGGAGGAGGGGGGUAUGGUGGUGGUGGUGGUGGCUUCCGAGGGAGCAGUCGAGGAAUGGGUGGAGGGCGAGGUGGACCUCCAUCCAGAAGAUCUGAAUACAGAGUUCUGGUAUCUGGAUUACCUCCUUCUGGUAGUUGGCAAGAUCUGAAAGAUCACAUGAGGGAAGCAGGAGAUGUGUGUUAUGCUGAUGUCUACAAAGAUGGAACCGGAGUGGUGGAAUUUCUCAGAAAAGAAGACAUGAAAUAUGCUGUACGCAAACUAGAUGAUUCCAAGUUUAGAUCCCAUGAGGGAGAAGUGGCAUACAUUCGAGUGAAGGAAGAUUACAGAGGAGGUGGAGGAAGGUCAAGGUCUCGUAGCAGGAGUGCUUCACCCCCGAGGAGAUCCAGGGCAUCCCCCAGAUAUUCCCCUGUCAGAAAUAGAUCUAGAUCGUAGUCAUAAUCUCAAGUGAUUCCAAGAUCAUGAAGUAUCAGAGACAGAAAGAAGUUAUAUCACAUCCAUUUUGAAGACUGUUAAUGGUUUUUGCUCUGUUGGAAAGUUUGGAUCAAUAUGAUGGAAAGCUUGGAUAUUUAGGAUAACAAGCUUUGAUCAAUUGGAUAAUCAUGUUUGGAUAUUAGGAUACAAGCUUGGAUAUUUGGGAUAACUAGCUUGGAUCAUUUGGGAUCAAGGGAUCUGGAUUUAGGAUUUAUCUCUCCCUCUCAAAUUAUGGAAUCGGUGCGGAUGGAUCCCGAUGCCCAAACUGGAGAUUUUUGGAAUUAAGGAAUCCAUCCUAUUAGGCAAUUCAGGGUUAAGGCUUAAAAUCCAAGGAAAGUCUGGCAGUAAAGAAAAAUGCUCUACUUUUCUUUAUUAGGUCACACGAGUAAAGAUUUUUGAUCAAAGAUUGUCUAAUGUCCAUCCAUCUGUAUGGUCUUGGUAUGCAUCAUGUGUCAUCUAUAAAUUUGUUUUCCACAUUUUUAAAGUCUUCUCCAGAUCAUAGUUUGUUUUUUCUUUUUUUUUUCAAAUGAAGAGGUAAGCCCUCUUUCAAGGGGAGAUAAUUUGAAAAUAAAUCUAUUAAAUUGAUAGGUUUAUUUAUUAAUUGUCAUCUCAAAAACCACUGACAUGGUAAGUCAAAACUUGUAUUAAUACUUCUUUAUUUUAUUGUAAAUUAUGUUCCUUAGAUCAAUCCUCAACUAAGAUGACAGCAUUUAUGAAUCAAAUUAGUUUUUUGCGAUGGAUGUUGGUCCAAAACUUUGUCAAAGGUUUAGAGCAGCCUUAGAAACAGUUCCCCUUUCUACAGAGUUUUUAUAAGAACAGUGUUCACAAGCCUAUUGAUAUAUGCAAUUCGAUGGAUAACUUGAAUGAUAUUUAACAAAGUAUGAAGUUUACAAGAAUAAAAAAAAGUAGUUGCAAUUCGUAAAGUUACUUUUUUUAGCCCAGUAUACUUGUUUACAAGUAUGUGUACUCAAAACAUUGAGCAUAAUUUGGAGACCGCAUAUUUACAUAUACAGAUUGGUUUGUCAAAAACGAAAUGUUGAUUUGAGAGCAAUGUGGUUUUUGAGGCCUUGUCUGAAGAAAGAAGUACGCAUGUACAUUAUUUUAUAGUAAUUUUUUAAUAGACUGAAAAAUUGAGCAAUUUUGUUCACUGCCAUACUUAGACUUGUUACUGGAUACCUUCUAAUUUAUGGAAGGAUUUGCUCUACUCAGGAAUAGAUUUGUGCUGGGAUUUACACUAGGUGCCCAGUUGGAAACAUGAGAGGAAUGGAUGGAUGGAUCACAUUAACCCCAUGGAGUAGGAUUUUGAAAGGAAACGGAUAUUCUUUCAUAAAAAAAAUAUCAGGGACAAAAUACAAAGAUAUAUCAGAUCUAUAAAGGGUGGUUAUGGGUUCUUCUCCAAAAAAAGUUCAACAGAUAUUUUUGAAAUGGUCUACAUAUGGGUUUCUGUUGAACAGGACAUAGUUUUAUUGUGGGAAAGCAACCUUCUAUAAAAAAAAAAAUCAAGGAUAUUGAGUCGGAUCUUGCUUCUCAUAGGAUCUUGCAACUUGUUCUGGAAGUUCUAAGGAGGAUUCUUUUUGGAGUAAGCAUUGGAUAGGCUUUUGGUAAGUGGGGAAGAAUGUCUGGUAAAAAAAGGUAAAGUGGGUGUAUGAGGUUUAUUUUUUUGCAUAAAAAAGGAUUACCCUGAAUUCAUAAUUUCUUGAAGAUGAAGUAUUAUUUCUUUUUUCAGUGACGAAAACCAAAAUUAUGUAUUAAUGAAAGCACUUAAAAGAAUUUCUAAACAAAAAGCUUUGAUGAGGCCAUCUUUCAAAUAAUAGUUGCUUGCCCUAUCCUGAUUCAAGGUAGAUUUAUUGUGUUGGUAGGUAAAAAAAAUUUCAACAUGUUUGUUGACAGGAUAAGAUGAAUAAAAAGAGAAAAAAAUAUUGUGUCCUUGAAUGUAAAAAAAAAUUUGAGUUGGGUAAUUUUUACUCAGUCGGUCAAGAGAGGGCAACCAAGCAAUUUCUUUCAAGUUGGCCUGAACAUAGCUAUAUUUUUAAAACUGUAUUGCAGCUUUUAUUUCAGCUAAUUCAAUAAAUAUUCUUACAACAUAA